rnacentral:snoRNA from 10 species
UUCUGCCAAUGAUGAGUUGCAACAUUAUUGCCUACAUUGUUUGACAAACAAAUUCAUGAUAAAAAAGCAACAACUGAGGCUUAA